rnacentral:rRNA from 1 species
AGAGUUUGAUCCUGGCUCAGAUUGAACGCUGGCGGCAGGCUUAACACAUGCAAGUCGAGCGGGGGAAGGUAGCUUGCUACUGGACCUAGCGGCGGACGGGUGAGUAAUGCUUAGGAAUCUGCCUAUUAGUGGGGGACAACAUUCCGAAAGGAAUGCUAAUACCACAUACGUCCUACGGGAGAAAGCAGGGGACCUUCGGGCCUUGCGCUAAUAGAUGAGCCUAAGUCGGAUUAGCUAGUUGGUGGGGUAAAGGCCUACCAAGGCGACGAUCUGUAGCGGGUCUGAGAGGAUGAUCCGCCACACUGGGACUGAGACACGGCCCAGACUCCUACGGGAGGCAGCAGUGGGGAAUAUUGGACAAUGGGGGGAACCCUGAUCCAGCCAUGCCGCGUGUGUGAAGAAGGCCUUAUGGUUGUAAAGCACUUUAAGCGAGGAGGAGGCUACUAGUAUUAAUAUUACUGGAUAGUGGACGUUACUCGCAGAAUAAGCACCGGCUAACUCUGUGCCAGCAGCCGCGGUAAUACAGAGGGUGCGAGCGUUAAUCGGAUUUACUGGGCGUAAAGCGUGCGUAGGCGGCCAUUUAAGUCAAAUGUGAAAUCCCCGAGCUUAACUUGGGAAUUGCAUUCGAUACUGGAUGGCUAGAGUAUGGGAGAGGAUGGUAGAAUUCCAGGUGUAGCGGUGAAAUGCGUAGAGAUCUGGAGGAAUACCGAUGGCGAAGGCAGCCAUCUGGCCUAAUACUGACGCUGAGGUACGA